AUUGAACGCUGGCGGCAUGCCUAACACAUGCAAGUCGAGCGGAUGAAGUGAGCUUGCUCCUGGAUUCAGCGGCAGACGGGUGAGUAAUGCCUAGGAAUCUGCCUUGUAGUGGGGGAUAACGUCCGGAAACGGGCGCUAAUACCGCAUACGUCCUGUGGGAGAAAGUGGGGGGUCUUCGGACCUCACGCUAUCAUAUGAGCCUAGGUCGGUUUAGCUAGUUGGUGGGGUAAAUGCCUACCAAGGCGACGAUCCGUAACUGGUCUGAGAGGAUGAUCAGUAACACUGGAACUGAGACACGGUAGAGACUCCUACGGGAGGCAGCAGUGGGGAAUAUUGGACGAUGGGCGAAAGCCUGAUACAGCCAAGCCGCGUGUGUGAAGAAGGUCUUCGGAUUGUAAAGCACUUUAAGUUGGGAGGAAGGGCAGUAAGUUAAUACCUUGCUGUUUUGACGGUACCAACAGAAUAAGCACCGGCUAACUUCGUG
rnacentral:rRNA from 1 species